rfam:Triticum aestivum genome assembly, contig: Triticum_aestivum_CS42_TGACv1_scaffold_096831_2AL
CUAGUACCCCCUCCAUCCGGAAAUGCUUGUCCUCAAAAUGGUUGUAACUAGACUUAUAUUAGUUAUAGAUACAUCCAUUUACAACCAUUUCGAGGACAAGGAUUUCCAGAUGGAGGGACUAUAAU